rnacentral:rRNA from 3 species
GCGAUACGUAGUGUGAAUUGCAGAAUUCCGCGAAUCAUCGAGUCUUUGAACGCAAGUUGCGCCCGAGGCUUGCCCUCGGGCAUUUCUGUCAGAGCGUCAC